CAACAUCUUCCUGCUGCCACUGCCUGUCCCCCAGCCCUUGCCGCCCCACACAAACACUUCACAAAAUUCUUGGUCACAAAGGAGGCCUGGUCAGCUAAUCCAAAGGGUGUUGUCUGCUUUUCUGCACAGAAGACAACCACGCCUGUGCAGACUCCUGGCCCCGAAGCCGGGCUGGUCCACAGAGACAGAAGUUCUCCUGUGCCCCAGUGACAUUGCCAAAUUAUGUUCCUGGUGUGCGUAAAUCAGAACCGGCAUCCUGGCAGGGUGGAGUGGUAAAGGUAGGAGAAGUAGGCUUCUUGUUGGGAUCAGAUCACCAAUAGAACCCUAUAGAAGCCAUAAGCCACAGAGGAGAUGAAGCCUGCCAUUGGAAUAUACAGAGGAGCAAAUCUAGUCAGUGACUUAUCACGUGGACAAGAAGAGACAUGAACAGUGGUGAACCUGGAGGGGAGAAGGUGAAGGAAAACCAGAAGGUACCUUGACACCAAGAGGAAAGGGGACAAAGAAACCUUUGCUCAAGGAUCAUGGUUCCAAACGCCUUCCCAUCCUGGUUUGAAUUAGGUCUCCUUUGAAGUCAGUGCCAGACACCUUCCUAAAGCUCUUUGGUCUGAGGGUGGUGCCCUCAGGACCACUACCUUUUUCUAAAAUUUAAAUCCAAGUUAGUUAAUAUAGAGUGUAGUAUUGGUUUCAGGAGUAGAAUUUGGUGAUUCCUCCCUUACAUAUAACACCCAGU